CAGCAGGGCAGCAAGGCAGGGAUUUGUGAGAUGACUUAUCCUGAGAAAUUAAAGUUUUACCACUAGUUAGAGAACAGCUCAUAGGAAACUGGUUUUGUAUUCAAAGUGCUUUCUUUUUUCCCAGAGCAUUUGAUAGAUUGCUAUUCCUUGAAAUUCCUGAGCUGAGGAGCAGAACCAGGAGAGGUGAGGACUGGAACUUGGUUGUAUGUGAAUCCAUUUGCUGAUGGAACAAGAAAGAGUCUGAAACAGCAGAUGUGCAAAUUUUCUUCUGUAAUGGCCAUUUAUUUAAUAUAAAAGGCGGCGAAACUACUGAGCUAAAUCCCCAGCCCUCCUUUUCUUCCAGCAAAGAGGUAAGUAUCCUGUUGGAUUGAGUGGGAGCUGUUGGCUGGCACACAGGUCUCCGUUUUCUGUAUCUAGCAGUAACAACAGCAGCAGCAGGAACAACAAAUAUUCCUUUAAAAAAGUUAUGACCGAGUCUCAGAUUGAAGGAGGGUUUGAUGACUGAUUCCUGUUGCUGAGUUCAGCAGACUUUAAGAUGGAAGUCUAUUCAGAAGGGUGCAGAGGGGUGGGGUUAGUGAGUGUCUGUGAACAGGGGCUGCUGGAAUAGAUAUUUUCCAGAGAGAUUCCUCAGAGAAGCUGGGAUGGCAGCCGAAGACACCUGUUUCAGGAAGUGCACUCAGACACAUCAGGCACUUUGGUGCCACCCACACUGGAGACAGUCAAGGCUGAUGAUUGCUUUUGAGAUGAUGUAUGAUCGCUUAAAGGUAUCAAAGACAAACUGUGACUGAAAAUCUAGCUAAUUUGAACUCUUUCUGAAGGUGGUAAAUGGUAGAAAUUAAUUUCAGAGAGCGUAG
rnacentral:lncRNA from 1 species